UCUAUUUAGAGUUUAUUGAAUCAUAAAUAUUGUACAAAUCUAGUAGUCUUAUAAAUCAGUAUUCUCACAUCAACUUCGAGCAAAAGUAGCAAAUGCCAAGAAGUGGAACUGGUAGCCUCAGUGACUACCUGUGAAUAAGAAAAGAAACAGAAAAUAUGCAGAAUGUCACGAAGCCCAGUAUGUUCAUUAACUUUUAUGGUAGUGGCUCUGAGUUAUCAAGAAUGCAUUGAAUUAUAUUCUGUGCCUGAUAUUUAAUAAAGUAUGAAGGUAUGUACUCAUAUUUAGCAAAAUUUCCAACAAACAUGUUAAAAAAUAAUUCAUAGUGAUUUUCUAAAAAUCUUGAUAGAAACUUAAAAAACCAACCCUGUAUCCAUAGAAGAGAUGUAAGCCAUUUCUCCCUUCUUUUCGUGUAUGUGCCUCUGGGCACUGGUGUACUCUCACAGGUUGUUAUGAAAGGAGUCUUAGCCAUUCCUGUGUCUGCAGAGGCUGCAGCUAUGAAUGUCAAGACAAGUCUGCACAUCUUAGUGGUAUGACUGGUUCCUGUAUGUUUUAAACUUAUUCUCAGAUUAAGUUUAUCUCUAACUUAUUUGUCCAUUUUCUUCUUUUUUCCAUAAGCUAAUUUAAAACUCUCAUUGGAAAGGAAAACUUGUCCUAUGAGGGUCAAAUGAAAACUACUUCGACUUUACUCACAUUAUUACUUUUUGCAGCCUUCAAUGCUUGAAAAAUAUGUGCUGGGAUUACCUCACUCCAGAGAAAAUACUGCACAUGCUUAGAAACUAAAGAAAUAUUAAUCCAUAUCAUUUUGAUAUUGUAUAAAUAUUAAAUAGUAUCUGACUUAGAUAUUACGAUUAUAAUAUCUGACUUGUAUGAUAUAUGAUGUUGUACAAUAUCUGACAUUGUACAAUGUCUGGAGUGGGAGUUGAGAUUUAAUUAAGGUGAAGUGACUCAAUGGCAUGCUCUGAAGCUGUAGUUGAAGAUGGAUUUCACAAUCCUCUGUCCAUUCCUAUGCAUGACUCACCAGUCUCAUGUUCAAUUGGUAGAUUUUUUUUUCCAUUUCUUCCAUUUUUAGGUUUUUAUGCUGUAGCUCACCCUGUCUGGGAAAACUUUGUCUAGCAAAUGGUCUGAAGCUAAGUUUAAACUCAUAAAGUCAAAUUUUUAAAAAUGAGGCUGUUUUGCAAAUAAUUGAAAAAAAUGAUGUUUUCUGUUAUCUGGAUAUUGCUUUGCUAGGCCAAAUUCAGCAUUUAAAAUUAUUGCUUUCGGUCAGAUGUGGUGGCUCACGCCUGUAAUCCUAGCACUUUGGAAGGCCAAGGCGGGCGGAUCACCUGAGGUUAAGAGUUCGUGACCAGCCUAGCCAACAGGACAAAAACCCAUCUCUACUAAAAAUACAAAAAUUAGCCAGGCAUGGUGGCACGCACCUGUAAUCCCAGCUACUUGGGAGGCUGAGACAGAAGAAUCGUUUGAACCCAGGAGCCGAGAUCAUGCCACUGCACUCCAGCCUGGGCAACAGAGCAAGACUCUGUCUCGGAAAAAAAAAAAAUUUAUGCUUUCUUUUUUUCUUUUUUUUUUUUUUUUUGAGACGGAGUCUCAUUCUGUAGCCCAGGCUGGAGUACAGUGGUGUGAUCUCGGCUCACUGCAACUUCCGCCUCCCGGGUUCACACCAUUCUCCUGCCUCAGUGUCCCCAGUAGGUGGGACUACAGGCGCCCGCCACGAUGCCUAGCUAAUUUUUUGUAUUUUUAGUAGAGAUGGGGUUUCACUGUGUUAGCCAGGAUGAUCUCGAUCUCCUGACCUCGUGAUCUGCCUGCCUCAGCCUCCCAAAGGGCUGAGAUUACAGGCGUGAGCCACCAUGCCUGGCCACUUUCAUUUUUAUAGUAAUGUCAACCACAAAUAGUCAACCACUUAAAUAAUUGACUACUUCUACUGAGCCAUAAGAACUGCCAGAAUGAUAUUUCUGAUCUUAUUCGUUCUUAUAUAAGCCUCAUCAUAGUUCCCUGGAAUAAAAUUAUAAAUUGUGUAUGAUAUAAGUAACUAAAAUUAGUUUAAGUUGAUUUCUCAAAAGCUGUAUGUAUUUAUGAUAAGAGAAAUUGCACAUUAUUAGGCAAAAACCUAUGAACUGUUUAGCUUAACACAUUUUUAUAUAUCUAAUUUUUUUACCAAAGCUGAACUCUUUCCAUGUUUACAAGGUAGUCUGGGAUUACUAACAAAAUAAACAAGAGCCUUUCUAGAUAAAUGUGUCCAUAUGCCAGUGCGGUUUAGGUCUUAUUCAAGACACAAGUCAUUACUUCUGAAAAAAUGAAGGCACAUUUAUUAAAUGACUGGGAGAAAUUCCAUAGUAUGUAGAAUGGGAA
rnacentral:lncRNA from 1 species